AGGGUGGACGAGGAAGAUAUUGUCUCCCACAUCCUAGCCGGACUUGACGAAGAGUUCGACCCUGUGGUUUCUGCCAUGUGCUCCAGGGUAGAACCAGUCACCGCGGCUGAGCUGUUUUCUCAGCUGCUCAGCUUCGAGA
rfam:Triticum aestivum genome assembly, contig: Triticum_aestivum_CS42_TGACv1_scaffold_094126_2AL